rnacentral:ribozyme from 1 species
UUGGGAAAGACGGGCAGGCAUAUGGGAGUGCAAAUGGAUUUUUUCUGCGGUGGAGGCGUUGUGUUCG